CGCGUAGGCGGCUUUGCGUGUCUUCCGUGAAAUCCCUCGGCUCAACUGAGGACGUGCGGAAGAAACUGCAGGGCUCGAGUCCGGGAGAGGGGGGUGGAAUUCCCAGUGUAGCGGUGAAAUGCGUAGAUAUUGGGAGGAACACCGGUGGCGAAGGCGGCCCCCUGGACCGGUACUGACGCUGAGGCGCGAAAGCGUGGGGAGCAAACG
rnacentral:rRNA from 1 species